UAAGUGUAACUAUACUUGAGACCUUAGA
rnacentral:sRNA from 1 species